rnacentral:rRNA from 1 species
UACGUAGGGUGCGAGCGUUAAUCGGAAUUACUGGGCGUAAAGCGUGCGCAGGCGGUUCGUUAUGUCCGAUGUGAAAGCCCCGAGCUCAACUUGGGAAUGGCAUUGGAAACUGGCGGGCUGGAGUGUGGCAGAGGGGGGUGGAAUUCCACGUGUAGCAGUGAAAUGCGUAGAGAUGUGGAGGAACACCGAUGGCGAAGGCAGCCCCCUGGGCCAACACUGACGCUCAGGCACGAAAGCGUGGGGAGCGAACAGG